rnacentral:lncRNA from 1 species
AAGCUGUCUAUUUGGGUGACAUCAUCACUGGAGAGCAGGCUGCCCUGGCAGAAAAGACGAAGGAUAUACCAGUCCCAGUCUGACUUACCUCCAGAAGUGAUAGAAAAGUAGAGGGACAUUCAGCCCCAGCGUGAGCCACUCUUGCGCACACAGGAACAUAAUGCAGAAGAGGCUAUGGAUGGAGUAUUCUGGCAGCACCAGCUGAAGAGGGAGCAGAGACACGGCCCUGAGUUAGAGGAGGAAAACGCCACUCCUGCUUCUAUGGCAGCUGACUUCUGCCUGGACACUGCCUCUCACAGACGGUUGACACAAAGGCCCUCCCUGCAGCAACGUAGAGCCACUGCCCCAACACAGAUCCAUUUCUGAUACGCAUCAAGAGCCUACUAUGAGGUGUCAAACACUGUGGCAGGCACUGGAGGUGCCAGGAUGAGUUCAAUGAGCCUGGUGACAAUGUUCCAGGCACCCCCAGGCUGAUGGGAGAGACCGACAGCUGAACACUGGACCAUGCCGCAGCCAGCACUCACACACUGACUGAAGCUCUAGCGCUGGCUGGUCCCUUACAGGUGAGUACAGUUGGUCACAAAGGGUGUGGACAAAGAAGAAUCCAUGGAAAUUCAAACUCAACUCAACUCUCCAGGCUUUGAGCACCCAAUGCCCUGGAUUAAAUAUGGCAGGAGGCCCAGCAAAGACCUUACAAUAGAUCGGGAGAGAUAAACCGAAAACCUAAGUGACUAUAUAAUCCAAGGCUGAAUAUAGGGAGAAGCAAAAUAGAAGGAUAAGCAUAAUAGGGUCAAAGGAGGAGGGAGGCAGAUCAGCCAACACUAGCCCUUGCUGGGA